UGGCGGCGUGCUAACACAUGCAAGUCGCACGAGAACUCUUCUGCUUGCAGAAGAUAGUAAAGUGGCGCACGGGUGAGUAUCGCGUGGGUAAUCUACCUUCGAAUCGGGGAUAACAUUGCGAAAGCGAUGCUAAUACCCGAUAAUAUCUUUCAAGCUUCGGUUUUUAAGAUCAAAGGUGGCCUCUACAUGUAAGCUACUGUUUGAAGAUGAGCCCGCGUACCAUUAGCUUGUUGGUAGGGUAAAGGCCUACCAAGGCUGCGAUGGUUAGCUGGUCUGAGAGGAUGAUCAGCCACACUGGAACUGACACACGGUCCAGACUCCUACGGGAGGCAGCAGUGAGGAAUUUUGCGCAAUGGGGGAAACCCUGACGCAGCAACGCCGCGUGAGUGAUGAAGGCUUUCGGGUCGUAAAGCUCUGUCAAGUGGGAAGAAAAUGCUUAAUGCUAACACCAUCUUGCACUGACGGUACCACUGAAGGAAGCACCGGCUAACUCCGUGCCAGCAGCCGCGGUAAUACGGGGGGUGCAAGCGUUAUUCGGAAUUAUUGGGCGUAAAGGGCGCGUAGGCGGUCUCUUAAGUCAGAUGUGAAAGCCCGGGGCUUAACUCCGGAAGUGCAUUUGAAACUAAGGGACUUGAGUAUGGGAGAGGGAAGUGGAAUUCCUGGUGUAGCGGUGAAAUGCGUAUAUAUCAGGAGGAACACCGGUGGCGAAGGCGACUUCCUGGACCAAUACUGACGCUGAGGCGCGAAGGCGUGGGGAGCAAACAGGAUUAGAUACCCUGGUUAGUCCACGCAGUAAACGGUGAACACUAGGUGUAGCGGGUAUUGACCCCUGCUGUGCCGUAGCUAACGCAUUAAGUGCUCCGCCUGGGGAAGUACGAUCGCAAGAUUAAAACUCAAAGGAAUUGACGGGGGCCCGCACAAGCGGUGGAGCAUGUGGUUUAAUUCGACGCAACGCGAAAAACCUUACCUGGAUUUUGACAUCCCGAAAAAUCUUUCGAAAAAUUGAUGUGCCCUUCGGGGAACUCG
rnacentral:rRNA from 1 species